rnacentral:rRNA from 1 species
CCUACGGGUGGCAGCAGUGGGGAAUAUUGCACAAUGGGGGAAACCCUGAUGCAGCAACGCCGCGUGAAGGAAGACGGUUUUCGGAUUGUAAACUUCUGUUCUUAGUGAAGAAUAAUGACGGUAGCUAAGGAGCAAGCCACGGCUAACUACGUGCCAGCAGCCGCGGUAAUACGUAGGUGGCAAGCGUUGUCCGGAAUUACUGGGUGUAAAGGGAGCGCAGGCGGGAAGCCAAGUCAGCUGUGAAAACUACGGGCUUAACUUGUAGACUGCAGUUGAAACUGGUUGUCUUGAGUGAAGUAGAGGUAGGCGGAAUUCCCGGUGUAGCGGUGAAAUGCGUAGAGAUCGGGAGGAACACCAGUGGCGAAGGCGGCCUGCUGGGCUUUAACUGACGCUGAAGCACGAAAGCGUGGGUAGCAAACAGGAUUAGAUACCCCAGUAGUC